CUGGUAUUCCCCGAGUGUUCCCGUCCUCUCCAGAUGGACCACAAGGGAGGCUUAGAUUUCGACGCUCUCGAGAUUUCGAAGUCGUUCAGCUGCGUGGCGCAUUUCCUUCGAUGAAAACCCUAAUUGAGGCUCGCAGUGGUGAUGGAUUGCAUCGCAGGUAGGCAGUAGCUGUGAAUUCUGCUCAAAAGGAACCAAUUGGCGCCUGAAACUGUCGCAAUUCGGCGGCGAGAGGCGAUUCUCAAUCUGAGAGCUUCAAAAUGCCGGGGCGGAAUGCGAUCGUGGCAUCCGGACUCGUGGCGUUUGCAACUGCGGGUCUCUUGUUCCCGCUUGUUUUAAGACUUCCGUUCCCACGUAUGAGAAUCUGGUUACCAAUCUAUUAUGCAUAUCAGUAAAAACUGGCAUUUUAUUUGCAGCAAGAUGCAUUCAAAGCCCAUUAUCGACUCCAGUAAACCUCUGUCACCAGGAGCAAUUAUGAGGGGCCCUUAUACUAACACCGGCUCUCGUGAUGUUGGUCCUGACCCUACUCCUCGGAAGCUUAGUUAACUUUUUGUCUUUGUCAAAAAAACAGUUUAGUCGUUUGUUUACGUUGGGCUUGUACAAGAUUACAACAGUUAGGAUGCCAGCAACAUCUUACACAUGGUACGUAAGCUCGAUUGGGCUCUGAGACAAUAGUUAUUGUUUCUAUGAUUUCAUUUCAAUUUAUGAUUUCUUAAAAAGCUGCUCUUUUGCGUCAGUUUAUAUCUGACGUCAUGUGCACUCUGUAUUGGAUCAUAUAUUUCAUGUUUAUGUCCAAAUAUUCAAGUCAA